rnacentral:rRNA from 1 species
AUACGGAGGGGGUUAGCGUUGUUCGGAAUUACUGGGCGUAAAGCGUACGUAGGCGGAUCAGAAAGUAAGGGGUGAAAUCCCAGGGCUCAACCCUGGAACUGCCUCUUAAACUCCUGGUCUUGAGUUCGAGAGAGGUGAGUGGAAUUCCAAGUGUAGAGGUGAAAUUCGUAGAUAUUUGGAGGAACACCAGUGGCGAAGGCGGCUCGCUGGCUCGAUACUGACGCUGAGGUACGAAAGUGUGGGGAGCAAACAGGAUUAGAAACCCUAGUAGUCC